UACGGGGGGGGCAAGCGUUGUUCGGAAUUACUGGGCGUAAAGGGUUCGUAGGUGGCUUGUUAAGUCAGACGUGAAAUCCCUCGGCUCAACCGGGGAACUGCGUCUGAGACUGAUGAGCUCGAGUGCAGGAGAGGAACGCGGAAUUCCAGGUGUAGCGGUGAAAUGCGUAGAGAUGUGGAGGAACACCAGUGGCGAAGGCGACUCUUUGGCCUGUAACUGACACUGAGGCGCGAAAGCGUGGGGAGCAAACAGG
rnacentral:rRNA from 1 species